rnacentral:rRNA from 1 species
UACGUAGGGUCCGAGCGUUGUCCGGAAUUACUGGGCGUAAAGAGCUCGUAGGUGGUUUGUCGCGUUGUUCGUGAAAACUCACAGCUUAACUGUGGGCGUGCGGGCGAUACGGGCAGACUUGAGUACUGCAGGGGAGACUGGAAUUCCUGGUGUAGCGGUGAAAUGCGCAGAUAUCAGGAGGAACACCGGUGGCGAAGGCGGGUCUCUGGGCAGUAACUGACGCUGAGGAGCGAAAGCGUGGGGGAGCGAACAGG